UACGAAGGGGGCUAGCGUUGUUCGGAUUUACUGGGCGUAAAGCGCGUGUAGGCGGGUCGUUAAGUCGGGGGUGAAAGCCCGGAGCUCAACUCCGGAACUGCCUUCGAUACUGGCGACCUAGAGUAAGGGAGAGGUGAGUGGAAUUCCGAGUGUAGAGGUGAAAUUCGUAGAUAUUCGGAGGAACACCAGUGGCGAAGGCGGCUCACUGGCCCUUUACUGACGCUGAGACGCGAAAGCGUGGGGAGCAAACAGG
rnacentral:rRNA from 1 species